AGAGUUUGAUCCUGGCUCAGGACGAACGCUGGCGGUGUGCUUCACACAUGCAAGUCGAACGAGGUAGCAAUACCUAGUGGCGGACGGGUGAGUAACGCGUGGGAAUCUGCCUUUAGAUGGGGGAUAACGGCUCGAAAGGGUCGCUAAUACCGCAUAUGCCGAGAGGUGAAAGGAGUAAUCCGUCUAAAGAUGAGCCCGCGUCCGAUUAGCUAGUUGGUGGGGUAAAGGCCUACCAAGGCGACGAUCGGUAGCUGGUCUGAGAGGAUGAUCAGCCACAAUGGGACUGAGACACGGCCCAUACUCCUACGGGAGGCAGCAGUGGGGAAUUUUACGCAAUGGGGGAAACCCUGACGUAGCGACACCGCGUGAGCGAAGAAGCCCUUUGGGGUGUAAAGCUCUGUCGGCUGGAACGAAACAAAUGACGGUACCAGCAAAGGAAGCAUCGGCUAACUACGUGCCAGCAGCCGCGGUAAGACGUAGGAUGCGAGCGUUGUCCGGAUUUAUUGGGCGUAAAGAGUUCGUAGGUGGUUUGUUAAGUCUGAUGUUAAAGAUCGGAGCUCAACUUCGGGACAGCAUUGGAUACUGGCAGACUUGAGUAUGGUAGAGGCUAGUGGAAUUCCCAGUGUAGCGGUGAAAUGCGUAGAUAUUGGGAAGAACACCGGUGGCGUAGGCGACUAGCUGGGCCAUAACUGACGCUGAGGAACGAAAGCCAGGGGAGCGAAAGGGAUUAGAUACCCUGGUAGUCC
rnacentral:rRNA from 1 species